CGAGAUAUCUCCUACAUUCACCAUUCAUAAAAUUCCCCCUGUGCAAUGUGGUUGUAACUGCCUACAUGUCAGUUUAAUUAAUUCUCAUUUAUUUAUUUUUUAGUUCCUACCUGCCUUUCAGUUUGAGGGGGCAAUGGCCGUUUCUGAAAUGGCAUACUACAUACUGCUCGUAUACUGAUCGUGACGUAAAAGUAGUAAGUAGUAUGCAGUACGCGAAAAAUGUUUUUUUGCAGUAUGUGACAGUUACCCGGAUGAUGUACUAAUCGGGCAAAAAUUCCUAGUAUACAUCCAGAGCUCACUACGUCGGAUACUGUAUCCCAUAAUGCAACGCGGCACCGUUGGAAAAAAACCGUUGAACAUUUCGAAUAAUGGCGGCGGAAAAUGCGAGCGAUGAAUAUAAAUGGACUGAUGUAGACACCGCAGCUCUCAUCAGUUGGAGAUCUACGAAUGAGGGCAUGUUCACGGGCAGGAGGAAUGCGGCGCAGAAGGGGUUCGAGAGUUGAAAGCACCCAGGACAGGGGUGAGCACUGAGGGAGGAGAGACCACUGCUGCAU
rnacentral:lncRNA from 1 species